rnacentral:pre_miRNA from 1 species
GGCCUCCCUCUGUGGGGCGAUUGAUGGCGGGGCUCCGCGGUCAAUGGCUCUGUAGAGGGAGGCC